GUUUCUCGUUUCUCGUUUUGUUUAUAUAGAUUAGACCGUUGGUUUUCCCGUUUGAAUGGUUUUACACUUGUAAUUUUGGGGCCGGCCUUUAUAGCUUUGUUCGGUGUGAGCCAAGGCUCCGUGUUGAAGGCCGUACUUUAACCUAUAAUGGUUUACUUUUUAAAUUGUUAUUUGUAUGGAGAGUUGUCUCAUUGGCACUCACACCACAUCUUCC
rnacentral:lncRNA from 1 species